rnacentral:lncRNA from 1 species
GAUGCCAACGGACAACUAGGAAAAACUCGACGUUUAUCGAAACCAACGGAGAGGUAACCAAACAUCAACGGAUGAAUGGGAGAGAAAUACAACCAUACGUCAGCGGACGUAGUGGGAAAAACUCAACGUUUACCAAAACCAACGGAGAGGUAACUCUACUGGGGACGACCAGGAAAAACUCGACGUUUAUCGAAACCAACGGAGAGGUGACCAGACAUCAACGGAUGAAUGGGAG